rnacentral:misc_RNA from 1 species
GUAAAAACCUUAUCAUACACGGUCUGAUCUCAAAUCAAGUAUUUGAUGUUAAAAAAGCAAACUUAUAAUCAUUCAAAAGUAUUUUGUAAUCCUAUAUUGCAGUGUACCAGUGCAUCCAAACAAUAAAGAACCAACCACAGUAGCUGAAAUCCAAGCAUUGCUCAAGCAAAGACACAAGGAAGGAGAUUCAGAACAACUUCAAUCAUGUUGCCUUAAAUUACAAAGCAUAAAGUUAACCCCUUUACACAGGCUUGUAACAAAAUAAAGCUACAUUCUUCCAAAAUUUAGGCUACAACUAAUCAAUUUUCAUAGCUUCCUAAUUACUCAUUAAUCACAAGUGGCUAAUGCAGGCCGCCUUUCCAAAAGAAUCACUCCAGCACCAGCAGCCAAGUCUGCAGGAUCAACCAAAUACUAAGACUCCGGUGAAGGUAUUCUCUUGGGCUUCUUCUUCUUCUCUGAGAAGGCCUUGGCAAAGGCCUCAACAAUCCGCUGCUGUGACUCUAGAAUCAUCUCAGUACGCUUCAUCUCCAUUUCCAUCCUCAUGGUCUCGAUCUCUCUAGCCAUCUCCAUUUUCAUCUGCUCCAUCUUCACAAACCCAUCUCCAAGCACCUUGAUCGCUGUCACCAUCUCCUCCAUUGGUUCCCUCUCCCUCUUCUUUCCCGUUUCAUCGGACCCCCUCAAAACUUUACUGCUCCCCAACCCAGAUGCAGACACGGACCCAGCUCCAAAAUUAGGUUUAGGACUAGAAUUAGAACUCAAAUUAGGGUUUAGGCCAUACUUGUGAUCAACUUUAGGAUAAAACUUGGGUCCUGGUUGCGCUAUACUAACUCCGGUGGGUAUUCUAAUUCUAAAACCACCAGCAACACUAGCGCCAGAACCGCUCCCACUCACAUUGCUGCCAGUAUUUCCUCCAAUUCCAUUACGAUACAGCUUAUGAAUGCUCCUCGUAUUCAUAAUAGUACUAACAUUCCUGUGAUUCUCCAUAUAGAAACCUUGAUUUUCAUCAUCAUCCUCGUUUUCGUCCUCAUUAUCAUCCCCAUCGCUCUCCGAGUUAUAAUCCACUUUAGCCUGUGGGCCUUUUUCCAUGGCAUCCAUACGCUUAAAAUGUACCCAAGAAGAAGAGAAUCUCGAAACGGGCAUGGAUCGUGCCCUCUGGAUCUCGGUGCGAUAACGCUUGCGGAGCUUCUCCAUCUUAUGGCGGCACUGCACGGCGGUCUUCGGCGGGGACGCAGCUGGGCAUCGGCGAGCAACGGCUUCAGCGACUUCUUGCCAGUGAUUGGCCUUGAGGUUACCACGACGGAGCGUGUACCACUUGUCGCAGUAGGCAUCGAUCAGGGCGACCGUCUCGUCGUGGGACCAACAUGGCGGUGGGAGACGGCGUGGAUUGGUGGAAGGCUGCGGUGGCGCAGGGAGCGCUGGUAGUGGAUUGGAUGGAAGGGUAGAAUCUAGGGGGGACGGAGAUUCAGCUGUAGGGGCGGACAUGGGUAGGGCGUAGGUUAAGGGCAGCGAUGGUGAAAGUUGAAAUAGAAAGGAAAUAUCGGUGGAGAAAAAAGAGAAGCGGAGAGCGUUAGCGAAGGAGGGAUAUUGGUGGUGGAGAAAAGAUAAGAAAGGGUUAGGGCUGAGGAAGUGGUGGGGAAAGUGGGGUUUGGUGACAUAUUGAAUUUGAUUGGGGAUGUAAAAGGGUGGGGUGGGUGGGGGGGUGGGAGGGGCGUGCGGCUGAUUUUGAGAUCUAGAAGGAUGAGGCCACCGCUUAGAUGUGGGGUGGGGGAGGGCUAACGUGCGCCACAGAAUGGGCUGCGCACACCCUCACCCUGCCCUGCCCUGCCCUUGGGACAAAAACGGUCCACUUUCUGACUUUAGCCAUCAAUGGCUAUUGGGUAAUAAGAUGAUGAUGUCAUCCAUUCCAUCCUAUUGUGUGUAGUGUAGCUUUUAGAUAAGCCACCGACAACGCCUCCACCCCCGCCUACGCAUAGGGUGGCUCUGCUUUCACUUGCCUGCUUUGGCACGU